UACGGAGGAUCCGAGCGUUAUCCGGAUUUAUUGGGUUUCACGGGUGCGUCGGCGGCCUGGUACGUCCGCUGUGAACGUUUACGGCUCACCCGUGAAAUUGCCGUUGAUACUGUUGGUCUUGAGUCUCCAUGAGGUAGGCGGAAUUUGUGGUGUAGCGGUGAAAUGCUUAGAUAUCACAAAGAACUCCAAUUGCGAAGGCAGCUCACUGGGGUAUAACUGACGCUGAUGCACGAAGGUGUGGGUAUCGAACAGG
rnacentral:rRNA from 1 species